GCAGUACAUGUACAGGUAGAGGUCUCAGAAGGGAGGACAGCAAGAGUGAAGGGGACAGUGGUAGUGGUGUAACUUUCACCUGUUCUGAAACAUAGAGGAUUUUCAUCAGAGCACCAAGAGGAGACCACAGGACUAGGCAGUCUCAGGAAUGCAUCCGCUGUCUGUAUAGGAACACCAUACUGUCAAAUAAAAGAAUAUAUUCCAUUGUACAGUUUGUAGCAUGAAUACAGAAAAUACUGGGAUUGACUUGGUCAAUUAAUUUAAAUACUCUUUCUGGUGGAUUUGCUUCAACAUCAAGUGAAUAUAUGGCAGCUUUCUGACUACACAGACGGCUGUCACCUCUGCAAGCAAUAAUAAUAAAAUCAGUGACCUACUUCAACUAUUACUCUACUGAAGUGAGUUUGAGAGCUGGUAUUCUGUAAUAAAUCCUGAUUUAAGAACAACAGAUUGAAGACAAUUAAGCCCAGUGCACUGCAGGUAAGACAUUCAAACAACAUUCAUUUUCGUAACUAAUGUUGCUUUUAUUUUGACUCUUGCCCAUUUCUCUAUGGCCUCUCGGAUGUUCUCUGACCAUCUGAACAGUAUCCAGGUAUUUCCUGGAAUCUCUGAUGCUCUGACUGUUCCGUUCGCUGAGUUUAGUGCUGCAAUCCUUAGCUCACCUCGUAAACAAGGUAAGUUUAAACACAGAUGAUUAGAUUGGGAGGUUGUAUUUCUGAGAUCAGAGAUUUAAGUCUCUUUUUCCCUAAGGAAGGGUACACACCGGGACAUGUUUAAUUUGGCAAGUAACCCAGGCAAGCUGAACACUUGGCAACAACACUGGGAAAACGAAAGCUAAAGUAUACCUGCCGAUUAGGAGCCAGUAGGAAACAAAACAACGAUCUGUGAUGGAUCUUGCCAUAGCAUCACUAUAAACGCACAGAGUUCCGAGUCUUGGAGCAUACUGUGUGUGCAACCAGCUCGGUUUGGAGAUCUCCAGCACACACAGGGUGAGCCUGGGUCUCCUCUGCCAGGCCAGGCUGUGCCCCGUGGGAUCAGAGCAGGGUGCUGGGUGGGCAGGGGGACCUGUAUCCUGGCUGUGCAUGCCAGGCUCAGCGUACCCAGUGGCUGUGUAGGGAUACUGUAGGGUUGUAUACCUGCCUGAGGAAGCCCUGAGCCCCGGCUGGACUGGGGUACUGCUAGAGAGGGGUGCUCGGAGCAGAACUGUAGCACAGCCCCGGUAAAUCCCCACGGAGAAGCAGGUUUCCCUUGCCCGGCAAUAGCCGCCAGUGCCGCGCAG